rnacentral:rRNA from 1 species
GCAGUCGAACGGCAGCACGGGAGCAUCCUGGUGGCGAGUGGCGAACGGGUGAGUAAUACAUGCGGAACGUGCCCUGUCGUGGGGGAUAACUAGUCGAAAGAUUAGCUAAUACCGCAUACGACCUGAGGGUGAAAGCGGGGGACCGUAAGGCCUCGCGCGAUAGGAGCGGCCGAUGUCUGAUUAGCUAGUUGGUGGGGUAAAGGCCCACCAAGGCGACGAUCAGUAGCUGGUCUGAGAGGACGAUCAGCCACACUGGGACUGAGACACGGCCCAUACUCCUACGGGAGGCAGCAGUGGGGAAUUUGGGACAAUGGGGGCAACCCUGAUCCAGCAAUGCCGAGUGUGUGAAGAAGGCCUUCGGGUUGUAAAGCACUUUUGUCCGGAAAGAAAUCCCUUGCCCUAAUACGGCGGGGGGAUGACGGUACCGGAAGAAUAAGCACCGGCUAGCUACGUGCCAGCAGCCGAGGUAAUACGUAUGGUGCGAGCGUGAGUCGGAAUUACUGGGCGUAAAGCGUGCGCAGGCGGUCUUGUAAGACAGACGUGAAAUCCCCGAGCUCAACUUGGGAAUGGCGCUUGU